UACGGGGGGAGCAAGCGUUGUUCGGAUUUACUGGGCGUAAAGGGCGCGUAGGCGGUCAGCACAAGUCAGUUGUGAAAUCUCCGGGCUUAACUCGGAAAGGUCAACUGAUACUGUGCGACUAGAGUGCAGAAGGGGCAACUGGAAUUCUCGGUGUAGCGGUGAAAUGCGUAGAUAUCGAGAGGAACACCUGCGGCGAAGGCGGCCAACUGGACCAUUUCUGACGCUGAGGCGCGAAAGCGUGGGGAGCAAACAGG
rnacentral:rRNA from 1 species